rnacentral:lncRNA from 1 species
GGGUAUAAAGUGGCCCUUCUGCUAGCAUUUCCCAAAGGAUGGAAGUUUUCUGCAGCUUGAUGAGAUUUAGGACUGGUGGUGCAGCUUGCUUUGUUUGAAAGUAAGGGCUACACCAAAGAACCUAAAGAUGGGCCUCUCCUCUGGAAGACUGUCAUCAGGUAUCCUGUGGGUGCACUUUCUGUCCACCCCUCUCCUGGUGACUAAUCAGCAGCCACUGGAGUAGUUGCACUUUCCUUCUUUUUCACAGGGACCUCCCUAAUGCCACACCCAUCCUGCUGGUUCCUUUUUUUUUAGAGCUUAUCAGGAUGUCAGCCUGCUGGUGAGGUUACAGGGAUCAGUGGAAUUAGAUGGGAAAAUUUUUUGAAAUGCCAACAUUUCAGUUUUAAAAGUUUCUCUCUUAUUUGUUGCAAUGAAACUUCGUUUGUGCCGUUUUUAUUGAAAAAUAAAGUGUGGUUUGGAAAUGCUUUAAUAAUAACUCUACCUUUCAGGAAUAGGAGGGGUCGAUUAUUCAGAGCUGUCUGACAGCUGGUAUGUGCUGAUGCAAAGAAGAGGAAACCAAGCUUUUUAAUCUCCAUUUUCUUUGUUUAUCAUACUAGAAAGCUUUGUUCUUUUUCCAAGUUUACAGGCCUGCAUGCCAACUUUUGAACACAAAGGGUACGUGCUCACCCGUUCCAGUACUAGGAGAGGUGGAAAUUAGAGGGAAACACUAUGGACAGAAAACUUUUUCUUUGAAAUUAUAUUAUUUUCCAGUAUAUUCUACAUCUAAAUUAAUAGCGCAGUAAACUAACACCAGUAUAUAACAAUGUGCACCAUCUACUGAACUCAGUUUUCUGGGCUUGAUCAAGAGUCAGUCUCUACAUUUUCAAGUUAAUCAGUUGACCUAUCUAUGCCUCUGAGAAAGAGAAAAGAAUUUGUUUUAGUGUUCUUUGGAUACGUGGUAAAUUACAUUAGAAAUGAUCUAUUUUGGGCUGGGAUUGUGGCUCAGCAGUAGAACGCUUGCCUAGCAUGUGCGAGGCCCUGGGUUCUAUCCUCAGCACCACAUAAAAAUAAACAAAAUAAAACUAUUGUUUCCAACUAAAAACUAAAAAAAAAAUAAACAGUUAAAAAAAAGAAAUGAUCUACUUUUCACCAUUGUAUCCCUAGAUAUAGUAGCCACAGUGGCUAUUAAACAUAAUAGGAGCUCUGGUGGAUUAGACAAAGGGGAAUGAAGGGAUGGGGAAUGGGAAUAAGAAAGACAGUAGAAUGAAUUGGACAUACCUUUCCUAUGUUUAUAUAUGAAUACACCACCAGUGAAACUCCACAGCAUGUACAAUCACAGAAUAGGAUCCAAAUUAGAAUAAGUUAUAGUCCAUCUAUGUAUAAUAUGUCAAAAUACACUCUACUGUCAUGUAUAUCUAAAAAGAACAAAUUAAAAAUAAGUUAAAAAAUAUAUAGGAGCUCAAUAAAAAUUUGUAAAAUAAAUA